rnacentral:misc_RNA from 1 species
GAUGAAGAACGUAGCGAAAUGCGAUAAGUAGUGUGAAUUGCAGAAUUCAGUGAAUCAUCGAAUCUUUGAACGCACAUUGCGCCCCUUGGUAUCCCGAGGGGCAUGCCUGAUCGAGCGUCAUUUCACCACUCAAGCCUGGCUUGGUGUUGGGCGACGUCCUCUUUGGGGACGCGCCUCGAAACGCUCGGCGGCGUGGCACCGGCUUUAAGCGUAGCAGAAUCUUUCGCUUUGGAAGUCGGGGCCCCGUCUGCCGGAAGACCUGCUCGCAAGGUUGACCUCGGAUCAGGCAGGGAUACCCGCUGAACUUAAGCAUAUCAAUAAGCGGAGGA